GAGUUUGAUCCUGGCUCAGAACGAACGCUGGCGGCAUGCCUAACACAUGCAAGUCGAACGAAGCCUUCGGGCUUAGUGGCGCACGGGUGCGUAACACGUGGGAAUCUGCCCUUAGGUACGGAAUAACAGUUAGAAAUGACUGCUAAUACCGUAUGAUGCCGCAAGGCCAAAGAUUUAUCGCCUAGGGAUGAGCCCGCGUCGGAUUAGCUAGUUGGUGGGGUAAAGGCCUACCAAGGCGACGAUCCGUAGCUGGUCUGAGAGGAUGAUCAGCCACACUGGGACUGAGACACGGCCCAGACUCCUACGGGAGGCAGCAGUGGGGAAUAUUGGACAAUGGGCGAAAGCCUGAUCCAGCAAUGCCGCGUGAGUGAAGAAGGCCUUAGGGUCGUAAAGCUCUUUUACCCGGGAUGAUAAUGACAGUACCGGGAGAAUAAGCCCCGGCUAACUCCGUG
rnacentral:rRNA from 1 species